rnacentral:lncRNA from 1 species
UUUUUUUUUUUAACUCGAAAAUAUAUAUAUUAUAUCUCGAUAGAACAUAAUGGAACUUUAAGAAAAAGUUAUUCAGACUUAAAAUAACAAAUUUCACAAACAGUCUUCAAUAAUUUUAGAUUUUAUCGACUGAUUUAAUUUCCACAAAAGAAAUUGGUUUAGACGAUGACCUGUUUAAUACUUCCAUCGUUUCUAUAUUCUGAUAAUUAUAGAGUAUGUUACGGUGGAUUAAAUUUUGGUGAAAGUUGCUUUCAAACACCUGAAAUAUUUAAACAAAAUUUACAAGAUUGUAAUGAGAAGUUGAUGUUAAGAGGGAGGAGAGGAGCGUAUAAUCGUGAGACAGAUUCGGCAAUUGAUAAACAUUUGAUCAUUGUUGCGAGAGCGAAACGGAGAUUUAGCCCACCUGUGUCGAGUCCCGUUUCUCACGGAUCUGCUCCCCAAUGCAGUCCCCGCUAAGGUCUCACGCGACCUUGACAUCGUUGUCGGUUGGAUCACGUGAGAAAGCAGCUGCUUUCGUCAGUACAGCCAAAACUUUUGACACUAGGACGAUGAACUCGUCUGGGUAAAGACUAAUUCGUCGAGUUGAAUGAGCCUGCUUUACACAAAAAAAAAAAAAAAAAAAAAAAAACCUCACGGCAUGCACGCUCCACCAAAUAUGCAGUCUCCUUGGCAGGUGUAUUAUUGCUUCUUUUUGGUAAUGCACUGCAGAAUGUCGAUCAUUUGUCGCCGGCUGCUUGUUUCCUUCUUUUUUUUUUUUGACGAUCCUGUUUAUCUCUCAUCGGUGGAGACUGAUUUGAAAAUUUGGUAUUUACUCAUUUACAUAUUUAAAAUAAAACCGACGCCAUUAUUGAUACGAGUGCGUGAUACUUCAAUUAACGCGCGCAGGUGUCGCAACCGUUCGAAUCCGGGUGCGUUCCUUUGUAGACGUAGAAGUUAUUACAAGAUGUGGCCCCGCUUAGGUUCUUUGUUCUCGCAGUUGCUGCUAGUCUGAGUCAAGAAAGAGAGAGAGAGGAGGGGCAUCGCUGAAGCGUGGCGUCGUUUCUCGAGCGGAAACGAGGCUGUGAUGGGAGGAACGAACUAAAGUCAACAACCCAACUUAACGUAGAAAUGAUGUCGUUUAGAUAUGAGAUGCACUUUCAGACAACGCAAACCGAACACUUUAAAUCUUAGCGGAUGAACGUCGUAAGCUUUCUUUUUGCUCCAUUAAGCUAUCUCGUUUUAAUAAUGCCCAGUUUGAAAUUGUCCAAAAGCAUACAGUCGAGUUGAUCCUUUAUGAAACUCUGUUGAUAUAAAAUCUUAACUGUGUCAGGUAUAGUUAGCUCGGGGCCCGGAAAUCCACUUUAUAAUAGUCGCUUUAUUUCCAGGAUAUUAUCAAUGUAGAAGCUACCGCGACUUAAAGCAAUAUCAUUUGUCUUUCCAUGCCCUACAUGCAGUUCCCAUCGACCGAUAUCUUUGAUCUUAUCUACGUAUCUCGUCCAACUUUUUUUUUUCGCUAAUUUUUUAACAGUACUGUCGGAUAUUAAUCUUUCUUCAACACGGACAUUUUCUUUUUAUUUUUUGUAGAAGUUAGUUGUUGUUGGUUUAAGGAUUUGCUGCUUGAAAUUCUGUUUAGUGAC